rnacentral:rRNA from 1 species
UACGUAGGGGGCAAGCGUUGUCCGGAUUUAUUGGACGUAAAGAGCGUGUAGGCGGCCAGAUAGGUCAGCUGUGAAAACUCGAGGCUCAACCUCGAGAUGUCGGCUGAAACCAUCUGGCUAGAGUCCGGAAGAGGAGAAUGGAAUUCCCGGUGUAGCGGUGAAAUGCGCAGAUAUCGGGAAGAACACCCGUGGCGAAGGCGGUUCUCUGGGACGGUACUGACGCUGAGACGCGAAAGCGUGGGGAGCGAACAGG